rnacentral:rRNA from 1 species
CGGAGGGUGCAAGCGUUAUCCGGAUUCACUGGGUUUAAAGGGUGCGUAGGUGGGUUGGUAAGUCAGUGGUGAAAUCUCCGUGCUUAACAUGGAAACUGCCAUUGAUACUACUAGUCUUGAAUUUUCUGGAGGUAAGCGGAAUAUGUCAUGUAGCGGUGAAAUGCUUAGAUAUGACAUAGAACACCAAUUGCGAAGGCAGCUUGCUACAGGGAUAUUGACACUGAGGCACGAAAGCGUGGGGAUCAAACAGGAUUAGAUACCCUGGUAGUCCACGCCCUAAACGAUGGAUACUCGACAUUUGCGAUACACAGUAAGUGUCUGAGCGAAAGCAUUAAGUAUCCCACCUGGGAAGUACGACCGCAAGGUUG